GAUGAACGCUGGCGGCGUGCCUAAUACAUGCAAGUCGAGCGAACGGACGAGAAGCUUGCUUUUCUGAUGUUAGCGGCGGACGGGUGAGUAACACGUGGAUAACCUACCUAUAAGACUGGGAUAACUUCGGGAAACCGGAGCUAAUACCGGAUAAUAUUUUGAACCGCAUGGUUCAAAAGUGAAAGACGGUCUUGCUGUCACUUAUAGAUGGAUCCGCGCUGCAUUAGCUAGUUGGUAAGGUAACGGCUUACCAAGGCAACGAUGCAUAGCCGACCUGAGAGGGUGAUCGGCCACACUGGAACUGAGACACGGUCCAGACUCCUACGGGAGGCAGCAGUAGGGAAUAUUCCGCAAUGGGCGAAAGCCUGACGGAGCAACGCCGCGUGAGUGAUGAAGGUCUUCGGAUCGUAAAACUCUGUUAUUAGGGAAGAACAUAUGUGUAAGUAACUGUGCACAUCUUGACGGUACCUAAACAGAAAGCCACGGCUAACUACGUG
rnacentral:rRNA from 1 species